rnacentral:ncRNA from 1 species
GGAAACCCGGUGAAGGGGUAAAGUAGUCCGCUGCAGGCCUUUCAGAGAGCCGGUGGUUGCUGCGAACCGGCAGGAGCAGAUGGAUGAAACAGGCUCCCCGGAGGGGGCUUGCUGAAAGCAGCAGUAGGCAGGCACGGGCGCCUUCCGUUAACACAGGCCAAAGAGGGCCGGAUCGGUUCCGGCCAAGAAGGGUGGCACCGCGGGAGCAACCUCUCGUCCCUGUU